UACGGAGGGAGCUAGCGUUGUUCGGAAUUACUGGGCGUAAAGCGCACGUAGGCGGCUUUGUAAGUUAGAGGUGAAAGCCCGGGGCUCAACUCCGGAACUGCCUUUAAGACUGCAUCGCUUGAAUCCGGGAGAGGUGAGUGGAAUUCCGAGUGUAGAGGUGAAAUUCGUAGAUAUUCGGAAGAACACCAGUGGCGAAGGCGGCUCACUGGACCGGUAUUGACGCUGAGGCGCGAAAGCGUGGGGAGCAAACAGG
rnacentral:rRNA from 1 species